rnacentral:lncRNA from 1 species
GUCUGAUGCCCAGCUGACAUCUGGAGGACAGGAGUGCAGUGUGAAGAGGUGAAGGCAGGGAAACAAGUGGCCCGCCCGGGGCCUCGAGGCUGGGCUAGCAAAGCUGAGAAUAUCAGUCGCCCAUUCUCCCCUGGUCACCAGCCCUGAUUUGUCCUUGGAGCUUCAAAUAGUGUCUUUGAGAAGUGAUGCUGACAUCACCAUAGUUAGCGUUUGCUGAGAGCCAGACUCCGUGCUGGGGGACCAGGGUGGGGAGAGUGAUAAUUUGCAGACCAGUAUAUGAAAGAGCAUCUCACCUCAACACGGCAUUUACGGAAGGCCCAGGGAGUCAGAGCGGGUGGUGGGAGCCCAGGCCCCUGGGCAUCAGGCCAGGCUUCCCAAUGGGACGUUGAGACCUUGCAGGACUCGUGAAAACCUCGAAGCUGCCAUGACCUGCAAGAAUGCAACAAUGGUGGAAUUGCAGGUACUGUCUGGAUGCUGUGCUCAGCCAGAAAAGCCCCCUGAGGUGCCUCUCUUCCAGCGUACUCCAUCCAGCCCCCCAGGAGCGUCAGGACCAUCUCUUCUCUUAUGCUUCCUUUGGUGUAGGUGGAUAUUCCACAGCUGGCACCUUAUUUGAUUUCCAGCUUUUAAAGUGUUGUCUCAGUUUCCUUACCUGUAAAAUGGGGCCAAUAAUAUUUACCUCAGUUCUCAGGAGGGCCAAACAGGGGUUGGCAGCAGUUUGUCACCUGCUGAGUGCCCUGGGGACCCUUUGUGCCUGAGUCGGUGUGGGGCACGACUCUGGGUCAGAGCCUGGAAGGGGUGGCAGGGGUCCAGGUACCUGGUGUUUGGGAAGGAUGCAGUGGAUAUUAGCCCGACAGGCAGUCCCAGGGCUGGUUUGGAGGCCAACUGGAGAGAGACUAGAGCCGGAGGCUGAUGGUCUUGGUCUGGGGUCUUGGUCUUGAGAUGCUGGGCUACUGUGGGAGCUCGUGGAGACAGGACCUGGCCUGGACCCUGGCAAACCCUCCUCCAGACAGAGAAACUGGGUGGACGUAUUGCUGAGAGCUGGGAGCCCCCUGAGUAACCGGGGUGGUGGGGGGCAGGCUGUGGUCCUGCAGGCACAUGAGGCAGAGGGAGUGCAGAGCCGCCCUGCCUUGGCACUUGAUGCCAAUGUGGUGUCACCAAGGCUGGGUGGGAGAGCUAUGAGAUGCUGCAUCAGCAAAUGGGAG